AGCAGCCGCGGUAAUUCCAGCUCCAAUAGCGUAUAUUAAAGUUGUUGCAGUUAAAAAGCUCGUAGUUGAAUUUCGGGGUCAGUAGAUUGGUCGUGCCACUGGUAUGUACUGGUCUCACUGGCUCCUCCUUCCUGAUGAACCGUAAUGCCAUUAAUUUGGUGUUGCGGGGAGACUGGACUGUUACUUUGAAAAAUUAGAGUGUUUAAAGCAGGCUAACGCUUGAAUACAUUAGCAUGGAAUAAUGAAAUAGGACGUUCGAUCUUAUUUUGUUGGUUUCUAAGAUUGACGUAAUGAUUAAUAGGGAUAGUUGGGGGCAUUGGUAUUCAAUUGUCAGAGGUGAAAUUCUUGGAUUUAUUGAAGACUAACUACUGCGAAAGCAUUUGCCAAGGAUGUUUUCAUUAAUCAAGAACGAAAGUUAGGGGAUCGAAGACGAUCAGAUACCGUCGUAGUCUUAACCAUAAACUAUGCCGACUAGGGAUCGGAUGAUGUUAAUUUUUAAUGUACUCAUUCGGCGUACCCG
rnacentral:rRNA from 1 species